UUCUCGGUCGGAGGUCGGACUGUCUUUUCUGGACUCCGUUUUCUUGCUUGAAGGGAAAUAGAACAAUUUAACUUAAAAAAAAUAAACAAUCUUCUCAAUGUUAUUUGUGAAAACAAUUUUCUAAAAAAACAAUCUACCACCAUUUCCACCAUUAAAAUGCACAGCCUCAGCCUUGUGCAUUUAGAAACAAAAAUCAUAAAAAAAUGACACAAAAACCACCACCAAUUGAUUUGGAAAAUAAAGUGGAGUACUGGAGAUCAAUUCCAUUCAUCAAUGACUGAGUUUACAGUUCAAAAGGUUCCUCCACGCUAUCCAGAACGAGUGAAAUGAAUCUUAUGUUUAAUAGAGACUACAAUACUUGAGUGUGAUCCACAUUCCACAGACUUGUAGUGUCUGCACCCUCCGACCACUUGUUGAUGUGUUCGCUCUAAUCCUAGACAAAAACAACAUUCAACAAUUCUAUAUCGGGUAUAAAAAUGACGUCAGAGACUCCUUGCUCGCCACAGUAUUGGAUGCAGUCCGUUCGAGUGACAAUCAAGAUGUGCACGUUCGUAUUACAAACACAUUGCGAGGCAUGCAUUUUGUUCCCCUCAACAGUUGUGUGGAUAUGAUUUUAGAGAAAUUCAACGCCAACAUUUCUCAUAGUGGUCUUAAGUAAAGUGUCACACAAGACGUAUGUUUUGAUAUUAUAUAAUUCUACUGAAUAAAUCUAAAUCUCUAACCAAAGUUUCAACUUCAGAGUUUAUUUGUAAUUUCAUGUGUAAUUUCAAAAGGUUUAGAUUCACUAGGAACUAACUACUUCUUUUACGUACAAAUUUCACCACAUAAUUACUUACUUCCAGAUUCGAAGUUUCAGUGAUUAUUCCGUAGCUAAAAAAGUACUGGCAAA